rnacentral:rRNA from 1 species
GGUUAAGUCAGGCAACGAGCGAGACCCACGCCAACAGUUGCCAGCAUGUCCUCCGGGAUGGUGGGGACACUGUUGGGACCGCCUCUGCUAAAGAGGAGGAAGGAAUGGGCAACGGUAGGUCAGCAUGCCCCGAAUUAUCCGGGCUACACGCGGGCUACAAUGGGCAGGACAAUGGGUUUCGACACCGAAAGGUGAAGGCAAUCUCUUAAACCUGCUCGUAGUUCGGAUUGCGGGUUGCAACUCGCCCGCAUGAAGCUGGAAUCUGUAGUAAUCGCGUCUCAAAAUGGCGCGGUGAAUAUGUCCCUGCUCCUUGCACA